UACGGAAGGCAGCAGUGGGGAAUAUUGCACAAUGGGCGCAAGCCUGAUGCAGCCAUGCCGCGUGUAUGAAGAAGGCCUUCGGGUUGUAAAGUACUUUCAGUCGUGAGGAAGGUGUUAAGGUUAAUAACCUUAGCAAUUGACGUUAGCGACAGAAGAAGCACCGGCUAACUCCGUGCCAGCAGCCGCGGUAAUACGGAGGGUGCGAGCGUUAAUCGGAAUUACUGGGCGUAAAGGGCACGCAGGCGGUUAAUUAAGUUGGAUGUGAAAUCCCCGGGCUUAACCUGGGAAUGGCAUUCAAGACUGGUUAGCUAGAGUCUUGUAGAGGGGGUUAGAAUUCCAUGUGUAGCGGUGAAAUGCGUAGAGAUGUGGAGGAAUACCGGUGGCGAAGGCGGCCCCUGGGACAAAGGACUGACGCUCAUGUGCGAAAGCGUGGGGAGCGAAAC
rnacentral:rRNA from 1 species